GACGAACGCUGGCGGCGUGCCUAAUACAUGCAAGUCGAGCGGACUGAAUGGGAGCUUGCUCUUGUUCGGUCAGCGGCGGACGGGUGAGUAACACGUGGGCAACCUGCCCGCAAGACCGGGAUAACUCCGGGAAACCGGAGCUAAUACCGGAUAACACCGAAGACCGCAUGGUCUUUGGUUGAAAGGCGGCGCAAGCUGCCACUUGCGGAUGGGCCCGCGGCGCAUUAGCUAGUUGGUGAGGUAACGGCUCACCAAGGCGACGAUGCGUAGCCGGCCUGAGAGGGUGACCGGCCACACUGGGACUGAGACACGGCCCAGACUCCUACGGGAGGCAGCAGUAGGGAAUCUUCCGCAAUGGGCGAAAGCCUGACGGAGCGACGCCGCGUGGGCGAAGAAGGCCUUCGGGUCGUAAAGCUCUGUUGUGAGGGACGAAGGAGCGCCGUUUGAAGAAGGCGGCGCGGUGACGGUACCUCACGAGGAAGCCCCGGCUAACUACGUG
rnacentral:rRNA from 1 species